rnacentral:rRNA from 1 species
UACGUAGGGUGCAAGCGUUAUCCGGAAUUAUUGGGCGUAAAGAGCUCGUAGGCGGUUUGUCGCGUCUGCUGUGAAAACUGGAGGCUCAACCUCCAGCCUGCAGUGGGUACGGGCAAACUAGAGUGCGGUAGGGGAGAUUGGAAUUCCUGGUGUAGCGGUGGAAUGCGCAGAUAUCAGGAGGAACACCGAUGGCGAAGGCAGAUCUCUGGGCCGUAACUGACGCUCAUGCACGACAGCGUGGGGAUCAAACAGG